GAAAUGCGAUAAGUAAUGUGAAUUGCAGAAUUCAGUGAAUCAUCGAAUCUUUGAACGCACAUUGCGCCCGCCAGUAUUCUGGCGGGCAUGCCUGUUCGAGCGUCAUUUCAACCAUCAAGCCCCCGGCUUGUGUUGGGGACCUGCGGCUGCCCGCAGGCCCUGAAAAACAGUGGCGGGCUCGCUGUCACACCGAGCGUAGUAGCAUACAUUCUCGCUCAGGGCGUGCUGCGGGUUCCGGCCGUUAAACGACCUUCAUAACCCAAGGUUGUCCUCGGAUCAGGUAGGAAGACCCGCUGAACUUAAGC
rnacentral:misc_RNA from 1 species